rnacentral:rRNA from 1 species
UACGGGGGGGGGUAAGCGUUGUUCGGAAUUACUGGGCGUAAAGGGCUCGUAGGCGGCCAACUAAGUCAUACGUGAAAUCCCUCAGCUUAACUGGGGAACUGCGUGUGAUGCUGGAUGGCUUGGAUUUGGGAGAGGGAUGCGGAAUUCCAGGUGUAGCGGUGAAAUGCGUAGAUAUCUGGAGGAACACCGGUGGCGAAGGCGGCAUCCUGGACCAAUAUUGACGCUGAGGAGCGAAAGCUAGGGGGAGCAAAACGGG